GAAAAUCUCAAUAGACAAGAAACCUAGUGGGGCUGCUGCACCUCCAAAACUUACUUCCAUGAUUAAAUCGAAAGAUGCUGCUCGAGACAAAAUAAGAGAACUUCUCUUUGAGGCUUUCUCCAAAGUUCCUGGUGAGGCUGAUGAAGAUGUUAUGGAUGAAGUAAAUGCAAGCGAUCCCAUUCGUGUUGCUGUUUCUGUAGAAUCCGUCAUGUUCGAAAAUUGGGGAGGUUCUACUGGUGCACAGAAGGCCAAGUACAGGUCCAUUAUGUUUAAUCUCAAGGAUCCGAAGAACCCAGACUUCCGAAGAAAAGUUCUUCUUGGACUUAUAAAGCCAGAAAGAAUGAUCAAUAUGAGCACAGCCGAUAUGGCUAGCGAUCAGAGAAAACGUGAAAAUGAAGAGAUUGCACAAAAAGCUUUAUUCGAUUGUGAGCGUGGAGGAG
rnacentral:misc_RNA from 1 species